rnacentral:RNase_P_RNA from 1 species
CGCUUUUAAGCAAUUAAAAGAGGAAAGUCUGGGCAGCAUAGAGCGCCGUACUUCCUAACGGGAAGGCAUUGUUAGAAAUAAUGAUGACAGAAAGUGCCACAGAAAGGAAAACUACCAGUAACUUGUUAUUGGAAAAGGUGAAAAGGUGAGGUAAGAGCUCACCGUGUUUCGAGUGAUCGAAAUUGCAAGGUAAACCUUACGGGCUGAAAGACCAUGUAAACCUAGGCUUGAGGACUGCUCGUUCGAACUAGGAGGGUAGGUUGAUUGAUCCUAACAGUGAUGUUAGGGCUAGAUAAAUGAUAGACAGCUGUAUUUAUACAGUUACAGGACCCGGCUUAUGAUUUGCCUU